GAUGAACGCUAGCGGCAGGCUUAACACAUGCAAGUCGAGGGGUAUAGGUUUUCGGACCUAGAGACCGGCGCACGGGUGCGUAACGCGUAUGCAAUCUACCUUUUGCAGAGGGAUAGCCCAGAGAAAUUUGGAUUAAUACCUCAUAGUAUUAUAGGAUGGCAUCACUUUAUAAUUAAAGUCACAACGGCAAAAGAUGAGCAUGCGUCCCAUUAGCUAGAUGGUAAGGUAACGGCUUACCAUGGCUACGAUGGGUAGGGGUCCUGAGAGGGAGAUCCCCCACACUGGUACUGAGACACGGACCAGACUCCUACGGGAGGCAGCAGUGAGGAAUAUUGGUCAAUGGACGCAAGUCUGAACCAGCCAUGCCGCGUGCAGGAUGACGGUCCUAUGGAUUGUAAACUGCUUUUGUACAGGAAGAAACACUCCUUCGUGAAGGAACUUGACGGUACUGUAAGAAUAAGGAUCGGCUAACUCCGUGCCAGCAGCCGCGGUAAUAC
rnacentral:rRNA from 1 species